GUGAGGAAUAUUGGGCAAUGCCCGCAAGGGUGACCCAGCAACGCCGCGUGGAGGAUGAAGGUCGUAAGAUUGUAAACUCCUGUUAGAGGGGACGAAUAGCACCGAUCGGCUCGGUGCUUGACUGUACCCUCAGAGAAAGCCCCGGCUAACUACGUGCCAGCAGCCGCGGUAAUACGUAGGGGGCAAGCGUUGUCCGGAUUCACUGGGUGUAAAGGGCGCGCAGGCGGGUUAGCAAGUCAGAGGUGAAAUCCUACAGCUUAACUGUAGAACUGCCUUUGAAACUGUUAAUCUUGAGUGCGGAAGAGAGAGACGGAAUUCCAGGUGUAGCGGUGAAAUGCGUAGAUAUCUGGAAGAACACCAGUUGCGAAGGCGGUCUCUUGGUCCGUCACUGACGCUCAGGCGCGAAAGCGUGGGGAGCAAACAGGAUUAGAUACCCGGGUAGUCC
rnacentral:rRNA from 1 species